rnacentral:sRNA from 1 species
GUGCUGCUUGUGCCCCCAGCGCUGGUUCCUUUACCCACCUGAGAAGACGCCAGAGUUCCACCCCAACAAGACCACGCUGGCCUGGCUCCGGGACACAUACCCAGCCCUGCCACCGUCUGCACGGCCCCUGGAGUGUACCAUCCGGGCUGGUGAGGUCAGUGGCUGGCAGGAGGGCCAAGCCAGGCCAGAGGCCCAGAGCUAAUCUCUGCUGCACUCCCUUCCUCCACCAGGUGCUGUACUUCCCCGACCGCUGGUGGCAUGCUACGCUCAACCUUGACACCAGCGUCUUCAUCUCCACCUUCCUCGGCUAGCCAAAACAGCUGGCAGGCCUGCCUGUCACACACCGGCACGUCCCACCUCGUGCUCACGGAUUUUAUUACACAGAUAGUGGCAGCAGUGGCCUCAGCCCAGCCCACCCUCACCUGCUUUUCCAGCCCACAAAGGGGGACGAUCACAGCCCAGCAAGAGCGAUGCUGAGAGGGGGAACAGUCCAAAGUCCAACAGCAGAACUUGGGGGGAAGGGGUUGGGGUGGCCAGGAACACAAACUAUGUACAGGGGCCGGGGGCUUCUGCCCAGGGCUCCCCUGGACCAGGAUGCCAGGCAGGGCAGGGAACCUCAGUAGUCCUCCACCCAGCCAUUCUCAGAGAUGAAUGCAUCAAUAACCUCCUUCAUAGCCAGGUUGGGGAUGAGCUGUUCCUGGGUCAGGGGGCUCCGGGUCACAGGGUCAAAAUGACCCACACGCUGUAGUAACAAGAAGGGCAGAGGGAGUCAUGGGGCCCAGGACCAUGCCACUGGCCCUGCUCCCGCAGCCGCAGCCUCACCUGCAAGUGUUCCUCGAUGUCUUUGCGGUCGUAGGUGAUGCCACUGGGCGUGAUGCACGGUUCCCGCAUCAGCUCAAAGCUGAUCUUACCACACAGGUAGUCGGGGAUGUCUCGCUUCUGCGGCACGGGGGCACAUGGUCAGAGGCUGGAAAGGGGCACUGCUCCAGCACCUGCCACCCACUGGCAGCAAGCGACACUCACCUU